GUCCUGAUCAUGAUCCUGUGAUAAAUAUUACACAAAACACUUACGACUAAAGUUGAUCGUAAUGAAGUCAUGAACAAUUCAGUAUACCUAUGAUCAAUUCAAGUCGAAUGAUUUUUUUGUUGUUGAAAAACUGAUCACUGAUACUCACAGCAAACGGGAAAGCAAAGUCAGUGAAGUGCAAAACAUAGACCGAUAUAAAAACAUAAAAACAACAUAACUAUCUCCGUGUCAGUAUAAAGAGAUGCCCCGCACUCCACUCUGAAACAGCUGUAUUAUAACAAAGUCAAUGUAGGAAUUUCUUUCAGAUAUCAGUAUUGUGUCUUGGAGACACAGUUGAUGCCCCCGCUGAAAUUUUAAUAAAAAUUAAAACCCUGACCACUUGCACAUCUUGAAUGUAUGUAUAAAAUGCCAGCAAUGUAAAAACUACCUAGCAUUCAAACUGUAGGAGGAGUUAUCCGGAGCUAUAACAUUUAACCGUGUAUGCUCCAUAAACGACAAAGUUCAACUAUCUCCCAACAGAGCAAAUAUUAAUAAAAAUCAAAACCAUGACCACAUGCACACCUUCAAUAUAUAUACUGAGUGCCAAUAAAAACGCAACACUUGGUUUUUCAAAAAUAAAAUUUAUAUAAGAAAUGAUAAUCUCUCAAAAUAAAUUGUUCUUGAAAAUUAACUAUUUUAACAAUAGAUCGAUAUCAAACAAAAAUGUUUAAUUUGUCAUCUUUCGGGCGCAAUAGGUAAACGAAACAUCCAAUGUCGAAUCAUCAACUAACAGUCCUAACAAAAAAUGUUACAACCCCGUGGUGCAGCGCAAUCUCAACAGAGCCGUGGAAUUGAUCAUUCCGGACGUUUAAUGUGAUCCCGAGGAAUGUUAUUCCACUUGUCCCGCAAAGCAAACUCAAGCUGACUUUAUGAUUUUGGUGGUGGUUUUCAUCGUCUAAAACAUGUCAAAUCUGAUGCAAAAAUUGGUCGAUCGGACCAAAUUCCGGCGAAAAGCAUGACUUGUAGCCAAGGCGGGUGCCAAAUGUCUAUGUAACCUCCAUUGACGUUUUUUGUACAUAAUGAAUGAUUUUUGGUCUACAGAAUUCGAUAUUUACGCCAGACGGCCGUUUAAAUGUCACUAAGUAAA
rnacentral:lncRNA from 1 species